CGCAUCUGUGCAUGCAGCAUAUCAAUAAGCGGAGGAAAAGAAACUAACAAGGAUUCCCCUAGUAACAGCGAGUGAAGCGGGAAGAGCUCAAAUUUGAAAUCUUAAAGGGUUUCCCUUUACGAAUUGUAGUUUAAAGAAGUGUUUUCCUGUUGAGGUUUUGGUAAAAGUUCUUUGGAAUAGGACAUCAUAGAGGGUGAGAAUCCCGUAUUUGACCUUUACUUUCAACUUUGUGAUACACUUUCAAAGAGUCGGAUUGUUUGGGAAUGCAGUCCAAAAUGGGUGGUAAAUUUCAUCUAAAGCUAAAUAUUGGCGAGAGACCGAUAGCGAACAAGUACCGUAGAGGGAAAGAUGAAAAGAACUUUGAAAAGAGAGUUAAACAGUACGUGAAAUUGUCAAAAGGGAAGCGUUUGACACCAGUGUUGUUUUUCUGAAAAUCAAUUAAAGAACUGUUUAUGCUAAGUUGUUUAGACUUUAUCAGCUAACUGUUUAGCUUUUGAGCUUUUCUUUAAUGCACUUUUCAGUUAACAAGUCAACAUCAAUUUCUUUUGCUGUAAAAAAGCUUGAGGAAGGUGGCUUGAGAUUCGUCUUAAGUGUUUAUAGCCUCUUGCCUAUGCAGUCGGAGAGAUUGAGGUCUGCAGCGUAGAUCCUUCGGGGCUAAAUGCAUUUGUGCUAAGUUAUAACAUUUUAUAGACAACUUGUUGACUAUGAUUUGUCUUGUAGCUUACUCGCUUAUGUUAUUUUACCUACGCUUAGGAUGUUGAACGCGCACAGAGUCUC
rnacentral:rRNA from 1 species